GCCAAGAAUGGGCAGAGAAAAGCACAUAGAAAACUAACAGAGAAUUCUGUGGGCUGGGAGACUUUUUUUCCUACGUGGUCGGUAUACCUGAAAGACCCGAAUGACAUGCCUAGUUGCCAAUAUUUUAUCAAAAAAAUAGCCAUCCAACGUAUUCUUAUUUGGAGUGUAUCUGCUCUAGGUUCUUCGCUUCUAGUUACUCAAAUAUUUUGUUUCAUUGAGUCGCCCGGCAAAUGAUUGAUGAACCUAACUGCAAGUUGAAAAGAAUGCUUGAUUGGAAUUUCUUUUCUUGAACUAGCAUAGUUCUAGCAGUCUUGGGAGGUGUCGCUGGUACAGAUCAGAGUGAAAUCAGUUCAAAUACAAAUCAGAUAUCUUAUUUUACAAAUAUAGAUAUAGAUAUGGAUGUUAGCCAGAUAUAUUUAUUUUAAACAGAUAUAGAUACCAAUCGAAAACUGAAAAUAUGAAUAUAAAUAUAAAUAUAAGUUGGAUAAUUAAAUUUUAUAAAUAUAGAAUUGAAGAUAUUAGUAAGUGGAUAAUAAAUGAAGUUAAUAGUAUAUCAAUAUAAUCAUUUACUUUUUUACAAAGUUUCUGAGUGUUAUAUAAAUUAAAUAAGAUUAUAAAUAGAAUUAGAUAUUCAGAUAUGGAUUGGGUAGUUCUUUAUCCAUAUAUAUAUUUUUUUCAUGGAUAUGCACAUAGAUACAAAUAUUUAUUACUUGUUUAAAUUUUUAUCCAUUGAAUUUGGAUGGAUAUUAUCGAGUCCAUUUUUGGCCUUAUUUACCAAGGAUGUAAUGUGAUACAAAGAAAAUUAAUGGAUGAGCUUGAUUUUUAAUUUUAUUAUUUUAUUUCGUUUUUAUCUAAAGAUUUACAUUUUGGGAAAAUAGAAGGAAAAUAUCCUUCUAACCCUUGCGUUUGAGAUUGAAGAAUGAACACAUAUCUUUAAUCAACUAUAAUUCUUUUUCCCAUUUCAAUAUCAAGAAAAUUGUGAAAUCUACUAUUUGAUUUUGAAUGAAGAUGUACUCAUUGUUUUGGUAAAACAAGGAGGCACAAAUAAUCAUUUACGCCAUUUAUUCUUUUACCCAAUGAUGUCUUGAUCAACAUAUUUUUCUUUUAGAAGAUUUUUUUUUUUGCGACAAUCUCCAAGCACUCAUCAAAUCCCUCUAGAAUUAAGGUACCUUUAAAAUUUGGCUAAGCUUGUCUCCAAUGAUGCAAGCACCCAUCAAUAAUUUGAGGCAAGGCAUCCUACUUUACUUCUUUUUAUAUUUUCAUUUUAUUUCUAAUAAAUAUAUUUUUUAUUACUCUAUGUAAGGUUAAAUAAA
rnacentral:lncRNA from 1 species